CGAACGCUGGCGGCAGGCCUAAUACAUGCAAGUCGAACGGCUCUUCGGAGCAGUGGCGGACGGGUGAGUAACGCGUGGGAAUGUGCCCUUAGGUACGGAACAACACAGGGAAACUUGUGCUAAUACCGUGUGUGCCCUUCGGGGGAAAGAUUUAUCGCCUUUGGAGCAGCCCGCGUUGGAUUAGGUAGUUGGUGAGGUAAAGGCUCACCAAGCCGACGAUCCAUAGCUGGUCUGAGAGGAUGACCAGCCACACUGGGACUGAGACACGGCCCAGACUCCUACGGGAGGCAGCAGUAGGGAAUCUUGCGCAAUGGGCGAAAGCCUGACGCAGCCAUGCCGCGUGUAUGAUGAAGGUCUUAGGAUUGUAAAAUACUUUCACCGGGGAAGAUAAUGACGGUACCCGGAGAAGAAGCCCCGGCUAACUUCGUGCCAGCAGCCGCCGUAAAAC
rnacentral:rRNA from 1 species